AUGAUGGAUGAAAAGAGUAUGUGGAAACAAGAAGAGGAUGUGGGAAGGAUUCCAAUGUUUAUUUGCCCACAGCAUUCAGGGCUACUAUUGGCAUUAUCAUAUUUAUUUAUUCUGCUAGAUGAAAUGGUGCCAAGUCCACACCAGAACAAUGGGAAGUUCAGUAUGUAUGAAUAUUCAAAGCAGUAUUUCAACUCCGUUACUUAUAUUGAACACAAGCAAUUGUACAAGGUGGUAAGUAUAACUCAACCAAACUAUGAAAUUUGUGGGAUUGUCUACUCAAUUCCUAUGUUCUAUCCACCAACUCCUGUUUUCGAUACCUCCUGCACAUUUCUUUGGAUAACUCCAGUUGUUUUCGACAAAUCUUUGUUAUUCAUGUUUUACUCACCUUUCAUCUCUUCAAGACCUUGA
rnacentral:rRNA from 1 species